rnacentral:lncRNA from 10 species
UCUGAUGCAGCUUCCCAAAGGUAACAGAUGCAAAUAUGAACCAAUACAUAUAUAUUUCUUUCCCUCUUUUUUUUUUUUUUUGAGAUGGAGUCUUGCUCUGUCACCCAGGCUGGAGUGCAGUGGUGUUGAUCUCAGCUCACUGCAACCUCCGCCUCCCAAGUUCAAGCGAUUCUCCUGCCUCAGCCUCCUGAGUAGCUGGGACUACAGGCGCGCACCACCAUGCCCAGCUAAUUUUUGUAUUUUUAGUAGAAACGGGGUUUCACCAUGUUGGCCAGGAUGGUCUCGAUCUCUUGACCUCGUGAUCCAGCCACCUCUGCCUCCCACAGUGCUGGGGCUAUAGCCGUGAGGCACCACACCCAGCCUUUCCCUCUUUUUACACAAAGGAUGUAUCAACAUACCAUGAAAACUGCUUUUGUCAUUCCGUAAUAUAUUUUACAGUUAUUCCAUACUGACUCUCAAAGAGCUUCCACUCUUUGAGAAUAAAUAGCUAUAUAUUAUAUCAUUGCAUAGAUGUGCCAUAUUUAACUAGGCCUCUCUAUUGGGACAUUUAGUUUUUUCCUAAUAUUUUGCUGCACGAAAAAUAAUACCAUAAGGGCUAAGCUAAUUAUUCAUUCAUAGAUAUUGUGGAAGAAUAUAGAAUACAAUUUCUAUAAGUGGACCUGCUGGGUUGUAGCAUAUGCACAUGUAGAAUUUUGAUAGACCCUGGGAAACUUCCACCUCCCCACAAACGCCAUGUGAAUUUUAUACUCCCACCAGCAAUGUGAAGGCUAUUUCUACAGUUCCGAAUUCUGCACACAGGUGUCCCAGGAGCACCACAGUUAAUGUACAGGGGUGCAUCAGGAUAUUUUAAAAUUUUGAGCGAAACAGCAACAUUUGUCAGACACUGCAUGACAGAUAUUGCUACAAGCUAGAAUUACGUGCUCAAGGUAGUUCACAUUUUCAAUACUGGAUCUCAAUGUAUUCCUUCUUUUUGAGGCAGGGUCUCACUCUGUCACACAGGCUGCUGGAGUGCAGUAGCAUGAUCUCGGCUCACUGAAACCUCUACCUCCCAGGCUCAAGUGAUCCUCCCACCUCAGCCUCCUGAAUAGCUGGGACCACAGAGAUGCACCACCACACCCAGUUAAUUUUUUGUAUUUUGGUAGAGAUGGGGAUUCACCAUGUUGCCCAGGCUGGUCUCGAACUCUUGAGCUCAAGCUAUCUGCCCACCUUGGCCUCCCAGUGUUGGAAUUACAGGUGUCAGCCACUGUGCCUGGUUAUUAUUCCUUUUUAAAAAAUUUUUUAAAUCACCAAAAUGUCAUGAAUAUAUUCCUUUUUUUUCGAGAUGGACUCUUGCUCUGUCACCCAGACUGGAGUGCAGUGGCGAAAUCUCAGCUUACUGCAACCUCCACCUCCCGGGUUCAAGCGAUUCUCCUGCCUCAGCCUCUUGAGUAGCUGGGACUACAGUCGCGUGCCACCAUGCCUGGCUAAUUUUUUGUAUUUUUAGUAGAGACAAGGUUUCACCGUGUUAGCCAGGAUGGUCUCGAUCUCCUGACCUCGCGAUCUGCCUGCCUUGGCCUCCCAAAGUGCUGGGAUUACAGGCGUGAGCCACCAUGCCCAGCCAAAUAUACUCCUUUUAAUGACAUAAAUCUUUGCAAAGCUAGGUUUUGAUGGUUCCUGUGGUAAAGUACCACACAAAAAUUAGUGAACAGGAAAUGAGGAGGGCAAGUGUCCAGUCUAAUUCCCAGGUUUAAGUAGUUGUACACAUCCCAUUAAUAACUGUACUUAAGAAUGAAAUAAAAAUAUCUUCUUUCAACUUAAGUGUAUUAUUUAUUCAAAUGGCUAAUAAGCUUAAUGAAUACUCAUUAAAUUGUUUAAAAUUAACUAGUUAAUAAGUGAAACUUUUAGGGAUUUCUUUUGGCUCAGAAGCACUGUGAAAAAAUUACUCAAACACUAAAGGUGUCAAUUCAAACUUUCUGAUCUUUGCUAAUUUGAUAGGGGAAAAAUGGCAACUUAGUGUAGAUUUAUCUGGCAUUUCUCUUAUGUGAAGUUAGUUGUUUCUUAUGAUUAAGAAGCAUUUGAAUUUUACUUUUUAUACAUUAUCUAUAUCUUUGUCCAGUUUUUUAUUGGGUUAAUGGCUUUCUUCUUGAUUUCUGGGAGCUUUUUAUAUAUUAGGGUAAUUGGCCAUUUCUGACUGUUUCAGGUAUUUCCCCCAGUUUGUUGUUUUCUUUUUACUUUAACAUGGGCUUUGCCCUAUAGAUCUUUAAAAAUUUAGCUGAAUUUAUUGUUUUCUAGACUUCUGGGUUUUGUCAUACUUAGAAAGGCUUUCCCUAUUACAGGAUUAUAAAUUUAAAAGCCUUCCAUGGUUUCUCUCUCUCUUUUUUUUUUUUUUUUUGAGACGGAGUCUCAGUCCAGUCCAGGCUGGAGUGCAGUGGCGCAAUCUCAGCUCACUGAAACCUCCACCUCUUGGGUUCAAGCGAUUCUUGUGUCUCAGCCUGAGUAGCCAGGAUUACAGGCACGUACCACCACGCCUGGCUAAUUUUUGUAUUUUUAGUAGAGAGGGGGUUUCGCCAUGUUGGCCAGGCUGGUCUCGAACUCCUGACCUCAAGUGAUCUGCCUGCCUUGGCCUCCCAAAGUGCUGGAAUUACAGGCGUGAGCCACUGUGCCUUCCCAUGGUUUCUUAUACUUAUUUUAACAAUGUUAUUUUUGCUUUAACCAUUUCAAAUAUCAAAUUUCUGGUAGAUCUGAGAUACUUUCAAGUUUAUAGGACAACUGGCAUCUCAAACUUGAAGUAUCCAAAAUGGGGCUCUCUUGUCAUCUCCAACCUUGGUCCUCACCUGCUUUUCCUCUAUUCCAACAGUUACUCAAAAUAAAAAUUUAAGACUUGUCUUUGGCUUCUCUUUUUCUUCAUCAAUGCCUUCACACUCCUUACCCUGAACAUCCAAUCUAGCAGCAAUUUGUGUUUUUUCUGGGAAGGAGGGGAGUCCAAAAUAUAUAUUGAAUUAAUCUAUUUCUUGCUUUCUCUACAGCCACCAAUUACCCUAGUUAUGGGCCCAUCAUCUCACCUGGACUAUCAUGGGUCUCCCUCUGUUGCCCAGGCUGGAGUGCAGUGGUGCAAUCUCGGCUCACUGCAACCUCUGCCUCCCAGAUUCAAGCGAUUCUCCCACCUCAGCCCCUUGAAUAGCUGGGAUUACAGGUGGUGUCUGGUGUUUGUCCAGCAAAAACCAUAAGUUCUUAAGAGAAUUGUGGAAGUGAAGAUGUUAAAGACAGCUCUUGAUUCCUCUCUUAAUUUCUGUAGUAAGACUUCAUCUUCAGCAGGCAGCUGAAAAUACAAGGUAAAUUUCUACAUGUAAAUUUUAGACUACUGGAUCCUAUAAAAUGUAUGUGGCCUCAUAAAAUAACUGUAUGCCACCGCCUCG